GAAUUUCUUACACUCCAAGACACAUUAUGUCUUUGGAAUAACACAUUAAAACACUUGUGGCUGGAGGCACACAUUGUCCAUGUGCAAUGUCUUACCUACCACUCAACUACACCCUCUUCUAAUUACUCUAUUUUGUCAUAAAAUAAUAAAAAUUUCUAAAUUUCUAAGUCCAUCUAUUUUUUUCUCUCCCACUAUGAUUCUCAGAUCUACUUUCUCUUUUCCAUCAAUUAUCAUUUUCCUAACCUUAAUCUCACGACGCUUCCAUACCUUCAAUUAUCGGAGAAGAUCGGAGAAGGAAGAGGGCAUGCCGCUUGUUUGAUUCUCCAAUCCCCAUCUCUGCAAUUUCUCCAAUUUUCUUUGGUUUUCUCUCCCAACUCAAAUUCACUUUCCCAGUUCAACACUAAUUUCACCGAAAGCACAAAACGAUACCCAAUUCCAUGUUUAUUUGGGAACUCCCGAGAAGCCUCCACCGAGAUCUGUCAGAUUGUCUGGUUUUAGGGUUCUCCCGUCAACGAGUCUCUCUAUUACCUUGCGUCUUGAUUGGAUUCAGUUUAGCUUUGAAGGAAUAAAUGACCUUUUACCCUAUACAGAUUUUGUCCUUGAAUUUUUGUCCACAG
rnacentral:lncRNA from 1 species